rnacentral:lncRNA from 1 species
GGGAAAAGAAAGGCACAGUAAGGAUCAAAACAAGGCUGGAGCAGUAGGUAAAGAUGAGUUCAUGCCAACGUAGGAGGCUUGAAGAUGUUUGGUAAGUCAUAGGUUCCCAAACUUUCCAGCUCACUGCAUCUGUAGCAUCUUCGUAAUUUGUUCAUGGUGCCCUCAGCCAGAAGACAUACUUCACAAUUCCAUUCGUUAAGUAGUACAGUACAAAAUUGUGUGAAAAUCACAGAAACAAUCACCCACAAUGUCCCGCCCAAGAAACAACCCACAGACCAGCAGCCCACAAGACAGUACAAAGGAUGGGAGCAGCUUCCAUUACUUUCAAGGGAGAUUUGAGCUCUCUGGGAAGAGCAGACAGUAUCCAGCAGAUGCAUUGGAGCCCCAACCUGGUAUUGGAGAUGUUAAGGUCAUUGAAAAAGCAACUAAGUCUAUGCUAGACCCAGC